rnacentral:lncRNA from 1 species
CAGUGGGUAGGACUCUGUUUAAUCUGUUCUAUUCUGUAUACUGUAACUGAGAUAGGCUAAGGCCCUAAUAUAUAUAUGUUUGACUCUGCAUCUAAAUAGGCUAAGGCCUACACUGAUUUCUGUAAGGGGCCAGGCCCAGAUUGAUUAUGGUUAUGAUUUGAUAUAUGACUGUAUACAUGUUUACUGGGCGGAUUACACACUAAGUUGC